rnacentral:rRNA from 1 species
AACGAACGCUGGCGGCAUGCCUAACACAUGCAAGUCGAACGAGACCUUCGGGACUAGUGGCUCAAGGGUGUGUAACGCGUGGGAACCUGCCCUUAGGUUCGGAAUAACUCCCCUAAAGGGGUGCUAAUACAGGAUAAUUUCUUCUAACCAAAGAUCGAUCGCCUUUGGGUGGGCCGGAGUUGUAUUAGCUAGUUGGGAGGGUAAAAGCCGACCAAGGCGAGGAUCCAUAGCUGGUCAGAGAGGAUGGGCAGCCACACUGGGAGUGGGACGCGGCGCAGAAUAUUACGGAAGGCGGCAGAGGGGAAUAUAGGACAAUGGGCGAAAGCCUGAUCGAGCAAUGCUGCGUGAGUGAUUAAGUCCUUAGGGAUGUAAAGCUCUUUUAUCCGGGAUGAUAAUGACAGUACCGGGAGAAUAAGCACCGGCUAACUCCGUG